rnacentral:rRNA from 1 species
GUCCUAGCCCUAAACGAUGGAUGCUUGGUGGUGAUCGGUACCCAAUCCGAUUGUGCCGUAGCUAACGCGUUAAGCAUCCCGGCCUGGGGAGUACGGUCGCAAAGGCUGAAACUCAAAGGAAUUGACGGGGGCCCGCACAAGCGGUGGAGCAUGUGGUUCAAUUCGACGCAACGCGAAGAACCUUACCUGGGCUCGAAGCACAGUGGACCGGGGUGGAAACAUCCCUUUUCGCAAGAACUGCUGUGGAGGUGCUGCAUGGCUGUCGU